CGGAUCGCAGGCUGCAACCCGCCUGCGUGAAGUUGGAAUUGCUAGUAAUCGCGGAUCAGCAUGCCGCGGUGAAUACGUUCCCGGGCCUCGUACACACCGCCCGUCACACCAUGGGAGCCGGUAAUACCCGAAGUCAGUAGCCUAACCGCAAGGGGGGCGCUGCCGAAGGUAGGAUUGGCGACUGGGGUGAAGUCGUAACAAGGUAUC
rnacentral:rRNA from 1 species